CUAGUUUGAAUUCGAGCAAAAAAAAAAAUACAAGAAAAAAAGGUGUGAAUUUAGGUUCUUUUUCCAGCUUUGUUUCCAUUUCCAUAUUAAAAAAACACAAAAAUGUUUUAGAUCCUUUUCAUUUAGGAUUUUUGCUUUCAAUCUUCAUCGACGGAGCUCGAUUGAGUCCAGCCUUUGUUUUCAAUUUUGCUUCUGAGUUCUAAUCGAGAUUUAGCUGUCAGGCACCGCCCGAGGUUUAAGGCCGUGAUUCUUGGUCCAGUUUUAGUUGCUGUACUUUCUUGAUUUCAAUCACUGCCAGAUUUCUUUGCUGGUAUACCCAAAGUUGAAGUUAUUGAAAAGUUUCACUUCAGGUUCGUUUUGGAUUCUUUUCCUUUAUUUGAUGAUGAUUCAAAGUAUGAUAAGAGCCUUAGGGGAUCAAAAAUGUACUUAGAAUUCUGAAUUUGUUUAACAUGUUUUAGAGAUAAAUAAUUGAAUAUGGACGUUAGCAGAAACAGUCUCGUUUUUAGGAUAGUGUUAAGCCAGGUUGAAAUUUUACCAUCACGUACUAUGUUGUGUUCUUUGUGUGCAAAUGUCUUAUAAUCUUAGAUCUGCUUGAGUCCAACAUGCUCGAUUAAAUUUGGAUUCGGUUUGUGAUUGUAUGGAUUCCUGAGGUGUGUUACAUUACUGUUAUGUGUAGUUCGGCUAGUUCCCCUGAUAUUUGCAGGCUUCCCUGUUAGUAUCGGUUAGUCUAUUAAUGUAUAGCUAUUCUUGCUUGUUAAAACUCGAAGGCUGGAUCACAGGGUUUGCUUGAUUUUGAAUAAUACAGUGUGAGCAUGAAAAGUUGAAUUUGUGAUGGUAUCAGUUUCUACUUGAAUUGCUCUCAUGAAAGGAAUGUUUUGUUCAUUACAUGCUUAGCUGUUUCAAUUUAUUACCUUGAGACAUGUUGAAAUCUAUCUUAUUUUUUUAAGGUGAAGUCUAUUGGAUAUUCUAAUUAGCUUUAUUAUUAUGAAUGUUUCUACUUGUCUGGUUGGGUUUGAAGUUGAAAUGAAUCUUGAGAUUGUCCUUCAAAGUUUUCUGCCCUUAACACAAAAAUACCGAUAAUGAUAAAGAAUGCCCAGUGACUCUUUGUUCACGUAUCUAAACAUGAAAAUUAGUGUGUUUACUAGAAUCAGCUUUUGAGUAGCCUGUGAUUAUUUUGUUGAAUCUGAUCCAUGUUCUUCCUGCCCCUAUGAUUUUUGAUGAAGUUUGAGAACUACUGUUUAUUUGAGCAUAAAAGGAAAUAGAAAGGAUUUUGUGUGUAAUUGGAUUCAUGUUACGGACAAGACUGCAUUUGCUACUUGAUAAUUGUUUGAGGAGUCUCUUAAACAUUAUGGAUAGCGGUAGCACAUGAAAUUGGUUCCGCGAGGUUUAAAGCUUUAAUUGUUGAGCUGGUCAUGUGUCAAAAUUGCCGCUUUCCAUUUACUUGUGUGGUAAACUGGUCUAGCUUGCAUCUUGUCAUGAGAUUUGGUCUAUCCCUAUCAUGUUACAAACUUAAAAGCGAUUGUUAAACGAAUUUUGAUAUGCCCUACAUUAGUUAAUCAGGUGGCCAUGCAUAGCUAUUAGUUUAAACCUUCUUUUGAAAGGCUCUGGUGCAAUUGUGUGUUCGGUCAGCAGGUUGCGAGCUUCCAGUUAGUUUAAAGGAAUUUGGAUGAAUAUGCUAAGGUAGAAACCAAUAGGGUGAGAGUUAAUUAAGAAAGUCAGCAAAAAAUAGUUCUUUUAGCUGGGAAGUAAGAAUAAUCAGUAAUUAGAAUCUUAAGAGGCUCUUAUCAUAUUUUGAUCCAUCAUUUUUCUUUAUUCUUCUCGUAUUCUUCUGUGCUCUUGAUGCUUUGUUUGAUAUUUUGAAUGAUUGUUGGGCCGGGGAAUCGGACAUGGCCGAGCUCACUAGUGGUUAAUUUUGUUGGCAUGCUUUAAGAUUGAGCUCGGUCGAACAAGUAAAAUUAAUAGAUGAUAAAAUGAGCAUGAUUUAGAAUUUUCUUUUAUUCAUUUGUUUAUUUUGUUACAUUGUCCACUAGAAGCAUGCUUAUGCCGAACAUAUUUGGGUAGGCAAGCCUUACGAUAUUUUUUUAAAUUUUGAGGUAAGAUUAUGUUCCCCGUUAGUUAUUAUUUUAUCCGAGGAGUGUAUCGAGGUACAUGUAAAUGAAGGCCAAGUGCAGGACGACAUUCAUCAUGGAAGCAUAGUAUAGUAUUUUGUUAUUUAUUUAUUUUUAUCUUAUUUUAUUUUAUUUAUUUAGGUAGGGAACAACCUCGAGCCUCUUAUUUGCUUAUUUUCUAUGUAUGUUUACCUUAAUUAAAAUAUUCUAAAAGCCCAACUAGAUCUUUUACACAAUCAUAAGUUACGGGACUCAGGAAAUGCCUAACACCUUCUAUCCGAGUCAAAUAAGCCCUCUUAUAUAAAAUUUAUGGUGCAGACUUAGUUCCGGAGUCUAAAAUGUUUUUAAAGGAAAAUUUAUUUUUAUAAAUACGGUGACCUGAUACACCGAAAUCAAAUGUCAGGUGGCGACUCUAAAAAAUUCUUUUUAACACAACUUUUUGUCACUUUCAAUUUGAAAAACCUUUGAGCUUUACAAAUCUUUUUAUUAAUUUUAAGAGGUUCUUGAAGUGAAAAAAAGGAGUGUGACACUAUAUGGUACUGCAACAUUCAUGAUUUGACAUUAUUUAUCGUGAAAAUGGUAAUAACAAUUAAAUUUAAUUAUGAGGUUCUAAAAAUACGUGAUCUAUUUUUAUGCUAGUUGUUAGGCAGUUCAUGGUGCAUGCUAUUCGCCAAUGACAAAGUGUUAAUUGAUGGGUCAAGAACCGGUGUCAACGAGAGGCUGGAGGUUUGGAGACAAACCCUUGAAUCUAAGGGUUUCAAGCUCAGCAGGACAAAGACGGAGUACUUGGAGUGAAAGUUCAGUGCUGAGUAGAGAGAAGUGGGCGUGGAUGUGAGGCUUGAAUCACAGGCCAUCCCGAGUAGAGACAGCUUCAAGUACCUUGGGUCGGUUAUCCACGGGGGACAAGAGGUCGACGAGGAUGUUACACACCGUAUUGGAGUAGGAUGGAUGAAGUGGAGACUAGUAUCUGGAGUAUUGUGUGACAAGAAAGUGCCACUGAUACUCAAAGGUAAGUUCUAUAAAUGGUGGUUAGGCCGGUCAUGAUGUAUGGGGCUGAGUGUUGGCCGGUUAGGAAAUCACAUAUCCAGAGGAUGAAGGUAGCAUAUAUGAGGAUGUUGAGGUGGAUGUGCGGGCAUACUAGGAUGGAUAAGAUCAGGAAUGAUAUUAUUCGGGAGAAGGUAUACGUGGUUCUCAUUGAUGACAAGAUGCGAGAAGCAACGCUCAGAUGGUUGGGGCAUGUUUAGAGGAGAAGUCCAGAUGCUCCGGUAAGGAGGUGCGAACAGUUGGUUGUGAAGGGCAUGAGAAGAGGUAGAAGGAGACCAAAGAAGUAUUGGGGGAAGGUGAUUAGGCAGGAUAUGGCGAGGUUGCAGAUUUCUGGGGAGAUGGCACUCGAUAGGAAUAUGUGGAGUUUGAGUAUUAGGGUUGUAGGUUUGGAGGUAGUUGAGUCAUGUCUUAUACUAUACCUUUAUGAGACUAGUUGGGUAAGGAUACUAUUUUGCUUCUGCUGUGCGUUGUAUCUUUCCUCUUGAUUUCAUGUUGUUCCUAUUUGUCAUAUUUGCCAUGUUUGUCAUAUUUGUCUCAUAUUAUUUUGGCGGUGUUACUAAUAUUGUCUUCUUUGUCUUUUUGUCUUCAUGAGCCGAGUGUCUCUCGGAAACAGCCUUUCCACUCCUUCAGGGUAAGGGUAAGGUCUGCGUACAUUCUACCAUCCCCAGACCCCACUAGAGGGAUUUUAUUGGGUCGUUGUUGUUGUUGUUAUUGUUAGACAGUUCAUGCUAUGUGAGAUUCUUUGAAACGAGAUAAAAGCUUGAGAGCAGGGUGAUAAUCAAACUGAAUGAUUAAUAAUCGGGGCCUCGAGCUUGCCUAUUCACGGGCCUCGAGGUUGAGUUCGAUGCUCGGCUGGGAGCUAUCAAGGGUAAUCGAUGAUGACUAACAGUUAUAAUAAAUCAAUGAUGGCUCUUUAUGGCCAAUAAUAAGCAAUAAAUAAAGAAUAAUAAAUAAAACACAAUAAAUAUAGGCAAUAAAUGGAAGCAAUAAUAUUGAGAGAGUAUGUUAGAGAGUAGAGAGAGUGUUCGUGUGUUUCUUAGUAUUGAGCAACAUAACCCUACAAAAUGAUAAGGAUCCUCUUUAUAUAUGAGGAAAAUCCCAACAUAGUACAAAUAUAUUUAUUACGAAGACAUGGAGAUGGGACGGCUAGUUGAUGUCAUGAUUCAGGUCUGAAUUUAGCUCACUAAACUGUGUCAACCCUAGUUAUGCACCUUGGGAACUCCCCAUUUUUUCAUCAUAGCCGUUGAUCUGCAUCGUGCUGAGGUCGAGCGUCGAUAGCCUUCGAGGGCGAAGCUCAACCCUAGCCUCGAACUUGUGAAAUAUGCUUACGAGGCAUUAUAAUGACGGAAAAUUGGACCAUUUGAUUUUACCGUAUACAGAUAGUUCACGCAUUUUUUAGAGUGAAAGUAAUAAAAAACGACCUUAAAUUCAUGCCCCUAUGGUACAUCUGUAACGAUGACAAUCAUAAGGCGCCAAAGGACAUCAUACACAUAGCCCUUGAAAGUCUUCGCAUUGAUUACACAGGUUGGCUAUCCUUUCGCCUCCUUCAACGCGCGUGUGGAGCCUCUAUAAAUACUUCUCCUCUCAUUCUUUGCAACUCGCUGCACCACCAAGCCCCCAAAAAGGUUCCUCCUACCUUUACUUUUGUUUUUUCUUCGAAGCACAAGUUCCCUUUCUCCUCUGAAAUCUUUUAGGAGUAGUGAAAACUUUCGCCUCUGUCUCUUCCAUGGGGGUCUAAUUAAGCUCCAUUGCCAAACUUUGAGGGCCCUCUUUGCUUGCAUCGAAGAAGUUGGGAACCGAGGGUGGAUGUGCCGCUUUGUCCGAGUUAGGACUUCGGACCUGAUCCUGGUUGAAAUGAUGUUGUUCCCUGAAAGGUGGAACACUGAACGUAAGUAGAUAUGCUAUCUAGCAUUUCCUUGCUUUUUUAGGUACAUUUUUCCAUGCACUUAAUUUUUUAUGUUAAUGCAGCCAUAGCGAUUCACCCUGGCGUGGUCACGAGCUUCUCGGGCUGGGUCAGCCAGCUGGACUCUAUUUGCCCAUGUGUUGAACGAGUAUAGCGUGACCUAUCCCAAGCUCGAUGGGAAGAUAAGGACCAUGGUUAGCCUUCACCCAUGUUGCAGUCGUACCUUUCAAUCUGAAUCUCUACUGAUAGCGCUCCCACUCCCUGUGCUUACAUUUUGCAUUUUUGUAGGUUUGGGAGAGUCCCCUUGAUGAAAGGAACAUCAUUUGGUGAAGAUGAUACCUCGCGACCCAGUGAAGGGAGAAAAGACAAAGGGAACCGUCGAGUGAACCUUCAGAAUCCAAGAAGACCAAGGUGGAAGAAAUUAAGGUCAACCUAGUAGCCCACUCUCAAAGUAGCAGGAAGUCCUCGAGCCGAAGGCGAGGGGGAAUAUGAUUUCUCGUUAGCAUUAGAGAGAAGGGAAAACUUGAUCGAUCCUCAUGCCAUAGAGAAGGUGGUUCUCGAACCAGAGCUUGAUGUCAUCGCACUCCAAUUUCGUGUUGGAGAGGCUACUGAGGGAAUAUUAGGGUGAUGCCCCCGAGCCAGCAAUAUCCCUCGAGCUUAGACUCAUUCGGUAGGUGGUUCGGAGGAAACCAGUUCUAGAGCCCUACAGGGACAAGAGGCGACUCUGAUUGACCCUGUUGGUGUUAUCAUGGUGAGUGACUCUCCUCAAGGAAUGCUCUUUCCUCCUAGGGGAGUACAAGAUGCCCAGAAUGAAAAACCUUCCAAUACAGGGGUACUCAUCGAAGGCAGAGAUGCACUUAAAAUGACUUUAGCCGCUCUCGAAUGAAUUCCCGAGCUCGAGUCUUCGCUCGUCGUUAGUGAGAUUAAUAGGCUUUAUGAGCAGGUAGUUCUUGUAAAUCACGCAUGUCGUCCUGAUCUUUAUCUUUCUAACUUGUCUUUUUCAUGCUUCAGGCCUGGGUGUUUUAUAGUCAGACUUUCACCUGACUUCAGGCUAAGGUGGCCCGUCACGAGCAUAAGAGGACUCGUCUUGUCAAACAGGUUUCCUAGUUUUCGUUUGCUAUUGCCUGACUGCUUUCCGAAUCCUAGCAUUUUGACAUCUUUGAUCUGAUUUGUGCAGUUCGAGAAGGAAGGUGCCCUACUGAGAGAGGAGCUCUGAGCUAGAGACUCCAAAGUUCUUGACCUCAAACGGCAUGAAAGAGAAACAACUUUUGAUAGGGAUACCCUUCAGGAAAGAUAGCCUUAGUUGGGCAUUAGCUUCAUGAUGCAUGGGCGGAUACUGACAAGUAUAAAGGCCUCUAUUCUGAGUUAGUAGCUGCAUUAUCGGGGAUCAAAAUUGAGUCUGAGGCGCUUAUAUCUUUGCAUAAAGAGGAUGUUGUUGCGAUAAACAUGCAAGCCGAAAGAGCGCCUGAGGAGGCCGAAUUGAAAUUGACUCGAGCUAUGGAGAGUGUACGGCUAAAAUCUCGGAGGCAGGCUCUUAUACACGCGGGGAGUGUCAAUUUAUCUACCGAGCUUGAGAGUGUGAAGACCCUAGAAAAGAAGGGUGUUGCCCUGUUUGCUUCUGGAGGUAUGUUGGGUAGUGGCUUAGGAGAUAAAGAGAACGAAGGUGAAGCCCCCAGAGGGGAUAAGGCCGUUAAAGGACCCGAAGUUGUAGCCAGAAUCGUUGGGGUGCAACCUCCGGGAGAGCCAUAAAAAAUGUAGGCUCAAUAAUAUAUUAGGGUUUUGUUUGAUUCCUUGUUUGUAAGGGUUUUUACAGGUUUUGUAAACAUGCUUCUGAGAGCAAUAAGUUUAAAAGGCUUUUCGUUUUUUAUCAUUUCUUUUCCCCUUUGUUUUUUGGGAAUAUUGUAUGAUGUUUUUUUAUAAUCGAUCCGAGAUUCCAGACCUUGGGUUAGACCAUCGGGUUUUUGUUGUUGCUGAGUGACCUGUAAUGUUUAAAGGUCAGUCCUCAAGCGUUCUCGGGUUAGACCUGGCUCUUGUGCAUCAGGUCGGCAUGACCUUGGUUUUAGUGCUGGUGACAGUGGCUCUUAUGCAUUGGGUCUGUACGACCUCUUAGUAUAGGCUGGCUACAGUCGCUCUUACGUUUUUGCGCUUAGGCAUAUUUAGUUAACUAUUUUGGGCUCAGUCUUUGAAUCGGGUUUCGACUCGAGUUCAUUCGACACUCAAGUUUUUGAAUUUGAAAGUUGGCCUUUCGGCUCUUGUGCAUUGGGUCGGUACGACCUUUUGUACGGGCUGGCGACAAUGGCUCUUAUGCUUUUGUUCUUAAGCAUAUUUAGUUAACUGUUUUGGGCUCAGUCUAUUAGUUGGGUUUUCACUCGAGCUCAUCCGACCCUCAAGUUUUUGAAUUUAAAGCUGGCCCUCAGGCUCUUACGUGUUGGGUCGGUACGACCUUUUUGUGAGCUGGCGACAGUGGCUCUUACACUUUGGGGCAAAGAUGACCUUUUGUGUGAGUUGGCGACAAUGGAUCUUACGCGUUGGGUCAAUGCGACCUUUAGUAUAGGAUUUAUUUUACCCUCGUUAAGGAUUUUUUUAGAUUAUGUUUGCCUGACACUUCGACGGUUUGAUAGAACCUCGUUUGUGAAUCGUUAUAUGGCAAUGGUCGAGCACCUCAGGAGGUUUGGCUCGGAGGCUGAGUAUCUCGAAGCUUGUAAUUUGGAGCCGACAUGGUCGAAGCUCUUUUGCCUAUGUCAAGAGUAGCCUAUUUAACCGGGUUUUUUCGAAGUAGAUUCAAAGUAAUUGAAGGCCUGUGAUUUUGUAGCGACAGUCGGGCGUCCCCGAGUCGCAUUAGUUUGGUUGGUACAACCUUAUGAGCGUAGUCAUUUGUGUUUGGCCGGAGCCUUUUAGUCCCAAGUGAAGUAGUUUGGUGUUUAUAUCGAGGGUAUGCUUUUUUAGGGGUCUUACAAGUUUGAUAUAUAGCCUUACCUUUGAAAUCGGGUUUAUGCUUUUAAUAGGGUUUUAUAAGUUUUACAUGCGUUUGAGGUCUUAUAGUGUUGGACACUUGGUACAAGUAUGGUUCAUGUCUUGCUUGAGGUCUUAUAAUUAUUGUUGUUUCCUUAUAUAGGUCUUACGAGAUUGAGUCUGCCCACUUGGGGUCUUAUGGCCUCAGGUUUUGAUAAGUCAGUGGGGAUAGGGAUUGACGGUAGUCCCCGAGUCACUAAUGAUUUCUCGGCACAUGAGUACUUGUAAACUUGGUAUUGCCUCAUUGAGGGCUUACGAUUUCAGAGUUUCCAACCUGGAAGCCAUGCGAUUUUUGAGAUUUUGACAUCAGUCCCCGAGUGGUCGGGAUGCUUUUGUCUUUGGAGCCGUUUUGCUAUUUUGACAUUGCCUCGUUUAGGGCUUAUGAGUUUCGAGCUCUAACCUGAAGGUCAUUCAGAUUUUGAAUUGUUGAUGUCAGUCCCUGAGUGCUUGGGUUGCUUUUGGCUUCGGAGUCGUUUUUGCAAAAAGUACUGAGUUUCUUUGAAAUGCAAAAUGCUUUUGGGAAGUGUUCUUUGAUUACUUGGUAGAAGCAUGUAUGUCUUUGUUGUUACGGGCUCAAUUGUUCUAUAUGGACACAGUUUGUUCGACCGUUUGGCCCGGUACAUUAUUUUCCAAUCGAGACCCCACUUAGCACAUCUUGGCUUCUUCGAGUAAGUGACCUUCCGGGGGGAUGCCCCCUGUAUUUGAGGUUGAUUGUAAUAGAAGCCUUGAAUACUUGUUGGGUCUUUCUUAGGUAGCAUAUUGAUGUUUCUUCAUUAGAAACCUUCCUGGUAAAACCCUUCUAGGGACAAAAUCCGGUCGAAGGAGAAGAGUACAACGAAUGCUUUUAAGGGCCCGAAACAGUAGUAUUGUUUUAGCAUUGAUAUGUUCCAAUUGCUUGGAAGCUGCUCGCCUUUCCUAAUACCGAGCUUGUAGGACUCUUUGCUGAUUACUCCAAGGACGUGGUACGGUCCUUCCCAAUUUUGGCCUAGCUUUCCUUCAUUAGGGCUUCGGGUGUUGAGGGUGACUUUCCUUAGGACCAAGUCCCCGACUCCAAGAUGUCAGAGGUUUGUUCUCUUAUUAUAAUACCUUUAGAUCCUUUGCUUUUGGGCAGCCAUUCCGACCAGUGAGGCUUCUCGCUUUUCAUCCAAUAGUUCGAGUGCCGUAGUCAUGGCCUUGUUGUUCGAGCUCUUAGUGGUAUGUCAGAAUCUGGUGCUUGGCUCCCCGACCUCUAUUAGUAUCAAAGCCUCGGCGCCAUACACUAUAGAGAAGGGUGUUCCCCCUGUGCUUGAUUUUGAAGUUGUUCGGUAUGCCCAUAGCACUUCGAGCAAUAUUUCUUUCCAUUUUCCUUAGCAUUCUCCAACGUCUUUUUUAAGUUUUCGAUGAUGGUUUAAUUUGUGGACUCAGCCUAGCUGUUUGCACACGGGUGGUAGGGCGUUGACAUGAUUCUCUUGAUUUUGUGAUAUUCAAGAAAUUUUGUUACUUUGCUUCUGCUGAACUGCCUCCCAUUAUCGCAUGUUAUCUAGGUAGGAAUCCUGAAUCGACACAUAAUGUGAUCCCAGAUGAAGUUAAUGACUUCUUGUUCUCUUAUAUUUUCGAAAGCAUGUGCUUCCACCUAUUUUGAGAAUAGUCAGUCAUAAAUAAAAUAAAUUUAGUUUUACCUGGUGCCGUUCGUAGAGGUCCGACUAUGUCAAUUACCUAUUUCAUGAACGGCCAUGGCGAUAAGACCGAAUGUAGUUGUUCGCCAAGUUGGUGAAUUAUAGGGUCAAAUUUCUAGCAUUUGUCGCACUUUCGGACGAAUUCCUUAGUGUCCAUGUUGUCCCAGUAGUAGCCUGCCUUGAUCACCUUUCGGACUAAGGAAUCGACGCCGGGGUGGUUUUCGUAAGUACCCUCAUGAAUUUCUCGGAUUACAUAAUUUGUGUCUCCUGGCCCCAAACAUGCUGCUAGGGGGCCAUCGAAAGUUCUUCUAUACAGAAUCCCAUUUUCAUCGAGCAAGAAUCGGGCUAUUUUGGUUCACAGGGCCCUCAAUUUCUUUGUAUCCGUGGGUAAUUUUCCAUCUUUCAGAUAGUCAAUGUAUUUAUUUCUCCCAUCCCAUGUUAGGCUGGUAGAAUUAAUCUCGGCAUGACCUUUCUCGACCAUUGAUUUGAACAACUAAAUAACAGCCCCGUGGAGUGGUUCAUCUUCUUCAACAGAUGAUCCCAGGUUUGCGAGGGCAUCAGCCUCCCUGUUCUGCUCCCGAGGUAUGUGGAUCAGGUUCCAUUCUUUGAACUAGUGUAAUGUGACUUGGAUUUUGUCCAUAUACCUUUGCAUCAUGUCUUCUCGGACCUCGUAGCUCCCAUUUACCUAGUUUACCACCAAGAGUGAACCGCAUCUUUCAUCGACGAUCUCAACUCCAGGCUUUUGGCCAAUUCCAAACCUGCAAUCAUAGCCUCGUACUCGGCUUCAUUGUUAGUCAAUCUUGUAGUUUUUAUAGAUUGCGUGAUUAUGCCACCUGUAGGCAGCUUCGGGACUAUAUCGAGUCCAGAUCCUCUCACAUUUGUGGCACUGUCAGUGAACAUGGUCCAUACCAUAGAAGAUGUGCCUUAUUUCAGUAAGAGUUCCUUUUCUACCUCGAGCACGAGGGAGGGUGAGAAAUUGGCCACGAAGUCUGUCAGAAUCUGGGACUCGAUGGCCGUUCGGGGUUGAUACUCGAUAUCAUAACCCCCGCAUUCGAUGUCCCAUUUGGCAUAUCGGUCCGAUAGUUCAGGCUUAUUAAUAUUUCUCGAAGAGGUUACGUUGUUAAAACGCAAAUACGGUGGCAUUUAAAAUAGGGUUUCAAUUUUCGUGAUGCGCUUAUUAAUGCAAGGGCUAAUUUUUCUAUGUGCGGAUACCUGGUUUCGACAUCCCCUAAGGUCUGACUUACAUUAUAAAUAGGGAAUUAUGUACCUUGCUCUUCUCUAACCAGCACACCACUUACCGCUAUCUCAGAUAGGGCCAGGUAUAGAUACAACAUUUCAUCCUCUUUUGGCGUGUGGAGCAAAGGUGGACUAGUUAGAUAUUGUUUCAAUUCCUCUAAGGCGCGUUGGCAUUCUGAAUCCACUCAAAGUUGUUUUUAUUUUUGAGUAAAGUGAAGAAAUGAUGACUCUACCUAGAGCCAAUAUCCACCUUGUCAAUCGUUGAACGGCCUUUACAUUAUUUAUCAUCGUGAUUUCCUCAAUGGCCUUGAACUUUUCGGGGUUGAUCUCAAUCCCCCUAUUCGGUACCAUGAAGCCUAAGAAUUUGCCCGAACCCACUCUGAAAGUGCAUUUCUCGAGGUUAAGCUUCAUGUUGUAACUUAUGAGGAUGUUGAAUGUUUCCUGCAAAUGUGUCAAAUGGUCCUCUGCGUGCAGGGACUUAACUAGCAUGUCAUCAAUAUAAACUUCUAUGGAUUUGCCUAUUUGAUGCUAGAAUAUUUUAUUAACUAGACGUUGGUACAUAGCCCCUACGUUUUUCAACCCGAAGGGCAUUACAUUGUAACAAUAGGUACCAUACUUCAUGAUGAAUGAAGUCUUUUCCCUAUCUUCUGGGUUCAUCUAAAUUUGAUUAUACCCUGAGUAGGCGUCGAGAAAGGUGAGGGUCUCGUGCAUGCCUGUAGCAUCAAUCUGACGAUCGAUGUUAGGCAAGGGAAUGAAUCCUUGGGGACACACCUUAUUUAAGUCCUUAUAAUCUACGCGUAUUCUUAACUUAUUUCCCUUUUUGGGCACUAUCACUACGUUGGCCAGCCAUUUGGGGUACUUUACCUCUCUAAUAGACCCUACUUUAAGAAGUUUUGUUACCUCAUCCUUGAUGAAUGUGUGUUUUACUUCUGAUUGAGGUACUUUUUUUUGCUUCACCGGUUUAAACCUAGGGUCGACAUUCAAUCGGUGAGUGGUUAUUUCCGGCGGGAUUCCUGUCAUAUCAGGUGCGACCAAGCAAAACAGUCGAUGUUAUUAAUAAGGAUGAGUUUUUUCCUGAGUUUGGGGGUUAAUCCUGUUCCCAGGUAUACCUUCCGAUCUGGGAGAUACUCGAUCAAAAUAGCUUGCUCUAGUUCUUCAAUUGUCGAUUUUGUUGCAUUCGAUUCUUUGGGGGCAACAAAAGUUUGAGGAGCGAGGAAAUCUUCUUCAUCAUCCUCGGGGGUCUGUAUGCGCCUAGACUCAUCCGAGGUGGAGUAUAUGGGAACCGAAAACAUUUCUUUUGUCGCAUGUUGUUCUCCAUAUAUGGUUGUAAUACCAUCCCUUAUUGGAAAUCUCACCAUCUGGUGCAAGUUGAUGGCAUCAUCGUCAUGUUGUGUAUCCAUGACUUGCCAAGCAAUCCGUUGUACCUCAUGUCUCCACCGAUGACAUGGAACUUGGUGUUCUAAAUUGUACCAAACAUGUCAACCGGAAGGUCGAUCCCCCAGUUCAUUACUUCGCUGACUAUGUUGCAGCCGUGGAGGACCCGGGAGGUGGGUACAAUCUGAUCAAGCAAACCGAGUUGUUCUACUACCUUUGACCCGAUUACAUUGGCCGAGCUGCCUGGAUCCACGAGCACACAUUUAAUUCGAAUGUUAUUUAAAAGGAAUAAAAUCACAUGCGCGUCAUUAUGUGGUUCUGCCAAGGUCUCGAGAUCCUCCUCACUGACUUCGGUCAUGCGGUCUCGGAUUGGCCCCUUUAUUGCAGCGGAUAUUUUUAUCUGUUUGAUCACAAGUCCUUGGGGAAUGUCGGUCCCCCCGAUAAUCAUAUGGACGACAUGCCGAGGAAUCUCUCUCUUGCCCAGGUUAGAUUUUUUGAGUUCACUACUGAAUUUCUCGAUGUGCUUCACAAUUAAUAUGAGGACCGACAUUAAUGCAUUAGGCGUCGCACAGGAUCGUACCCUUGGGAAUCGACUCUGUGUGCUCUCAGGGUUUUUCGGUGGCACGCUCGUUCUUGGAAUAACCACACCGCUCUUUCCAUAGUUUUAGAGCUAUUAUUUUCGGGUACAUUGAUUGGUUUAGGCAUUUUGACAUUAAAUCAAAGAUUGGAAGAAACAAUGUGAAAGAUAACUUGCAUUGUGUAAUAAACCAGCAAGGAAAUAUUCACUAUUAUCUUUAUCCCCACGGUGGGAGCCAAACUGUUUACUGUAAAAAUGUUAAUAACAACUAAAUUUGAUUAUGAGGUUCUAAAAAUAUGUAAUCUAUUGUUAUGCUAGUUGUUAGGCAGUUGAUGCUAUGUGAGAGACUUAGAAACGAGAUAAGAGCUUGAGAGCGAGGUGAUAACCAAACCGAACAAUUAAUACUCAAGGCCCCUAGCUUGCCUAUUCGAGGGCCUCGGGGUCGAGUUUGAUGCUCAACUGUGAGCUAUCGAGGGUGAUUGGUGAAUGACUAAUAAUAAUAAUAAUAAAUCAAUGAAGGCUCUUUAUGUCCAAUAAUAAGCAAUAAAUGAAGAAAAAUAAAUAGAACACAAUAAAUAUAGGCAAUAAAUGGAAGCAAUAAUAUCAAGAAAGCAUGUUAGGGAGCAGAGAGAAUGUUCAUGUGUUUCUUAUUAUUGAGCAACAGAACCUUACAAAAUGACAAGGAACCCCUUUAUAUAUGAGGAAAAAUCCCAACAUAGUACAAAUACAUUUAUUACAAAUACAUGGAUAUGGGGCAUCUAGUUGAUGUCAUGAUUCAGGUCUGAAUUUAGCUCACUAGACUGUGUCAGCCCUAGUUAUGCACCUUGGGAACUCCUCACUUUUUCAUCAUACUCGUUGAUCUGCACCGCCUUGAGAUCGAGCAUCGAUAGCCUUCGAGGUGAAUCUCGACCCCAGCCUCAAACCUGUGAAAUAUGCUUACGAGGCAUCACAGUAACGGAAAAUUGGACCCUCCGAUUUUACCAUAUACAGACAUGUAGAAAUUGAGAUGUAUAUUCCUCAAGCUAGAUGGUAUAUGAUAAUUGAUGACUUGACAUGUAUGUAGGUAUAAAUAUGUACUUUCGUCAUGCUUUCUGAUAAUGAAAUAUCUUAUUUGUUGUUGAAAAUUUGGGAAAAAUCACAAUUUUCUUAUGUACUCAUAUUUUCGUAAUUCAGGUGAAAGAUUUGGGUUUUACUGUUAUACUUGAAAAGAAUGUUUAUUUUUUCGUAGAUGCGAAUGACUUGAGUAUAAUAUCUUUUGAGUUAUUACUUGUACUACUUUCAUUGUAUUGUUAAGAGCUGUUUUUUGCUAUUGGUGUUGGACUCUGUCAGUUUUUCGAGCUCGUCACUACUUUCAGCCUAAGGUUAGGUUUGUUACUUGUUGAGUACAUGGGAUCGGUUGUACUCAUAUUACGCUUCUGCACUAUGCGUGCAGAUUUUGGAGCUGGUGUUGUUGUGUAUGGCGGGAGCUAGCGUUGAAGAUGCACAUGCAUUUCGAUAUACCUGCCUCUUGUUCUUGGUAGCUUUAGAUUUAUAAACUCUCUUAUGUAUAUUUCGAACAAAUGUUGUAUUUAUUUCACACUAUCUUUGUAAAUUCUAAGUCUUAGAAGCUCAUGACUUGUACUACCAAUCCUUGAGAUUUUGUAUAGAAAUCUCACUUUUGAUUCUUGUUAUCCUAUUCUAGUUGUAUUGUCCAUCAUUUGGCUUACCAAGCGGAUCAGGUUAGGUGUCAUCGCAACUAGCUGGAUUUUGGGUCAUGACAGUUACUGGUGUUGGAGUUGUAAGAGUUUUUAUCACAUUGAGGUAAAGUUGUUAAUUGAUGUGGUAUCUUCCCUUGAUGAGUAUCCCUCAUUCAUCUUGUUAUUGAGAUUACUGUACACAUUGUGACUGAUCCAUGGGCUAAUUAUUGUGGAAAUAUUGGUAUUGUUGAUUUUGGCAAGUCGUGGCAUAUAGGCAAUUGUGGUGCGAGUUGUUGUUGUGUUGUGAUAUUGAUACGCAUACGGUGGUAUAAGGAUAGGGGUUGAUACACAUGCGGUGGGACAAGGUGGGAACUUAUACGCGUGUUGCUAGUAAGAAAAUUACUUGAAUACGAUGAGAUAACUAAAAUGCAUGGCAGUGUGAUAUAAGGACAGAUUGUGAUUGAGGCCGUGAAAUAUGGAAACGGGGCAGUAUAAUGGUUGUGAUUCUUGUCGCACACUCUAUGUUAAAGAGGCUUGUUGGUUGCACCGUUUUGUAAUUUCCUUAUUUGUUUCACUUGUAAUUGUUUGUAUUGAUUUCUUGAUUUUUUGAACAAGUGUUUAUUCCUUGUUCCCAUUUUUUCUUUAGAUCCAUCGCUAACUUACAUUUUGGAACUGCUUUAUUGUCAUUUAUUUUCAUGACUUCGAUUAUUUGAUCUACUACCUUAUUUAUUGUCUUUUAUCCUAGUAGGUGUCUUGACCUAGCCUUGUACUACUCUACCGAGGUUAGGUUUGAUAUUUAUUGGAUACCAUUUUAGUAUGCUCAUACUAUAUUUCUUCACAUUUUUGUGCAGAUCCAGAUGCAUCAUCUCAUGACGGACGCUAUUGAUUGAUUAGCUACUUUCGGAGACUUCAAGGUACACAUCCUCGAUGUUUGCAGGCCUCGAAAUCACCUUCUAUUUUUCGAUGUUCUAUUGUUUAUUUCAUGUUCCAAAAUAGUAUAGUAUUUUAGACUACUCGUACAUUCUUAUAGAGCUUAUGACUCGAUUCCACCGAGUUUUAAGGAGUUGUUGACAGAUGUACUGUUGAGUUUUAUUGUGAUAGUUUAAUGGUUUGAAUUGAGGUUUUAUUAUUAUUUAAAUUAUUUCUCAAUAUAUGCUAGGCUUACCUAGUCUUAGAAAAUAUGUGUCAUCAUGACAUUCUAAGGUGGGCAAUUGGGGUCGUGACAACUAGUCUUGGAUUUUCGAUGAAAGAUUUUUGUUCUUUGGUUAGAGGUUGUAAUUAAGUGAAAUAUGAUGGUAUUUUGUAUGAUUUUUAUAUUGUUGAUAUGUCUUUUAAGCUAUUGUCAGUAUUCUUUCAUAAUAUAUUUUAUGAGCUACAUGUAUCUUCACUCGUAAAUUGAGAAUUUUCUUAGUAAUAAAUAGUUACCACUAAAGUGGUUUGUUUAUUUGAACUCACAGUGUAACGACCCGACCAGUCGUUUGAGCAUUUGCAUUUUGUUUAGUUGUUUGAAGCUUUGAGUAGCUCUGUAUGAUGUAUUAUGAUUUGUGUGAAUCGUGAGUUUUGGUUUUCAGGUGAUUCAGAAUUGAUUUGGAAGAAUGAAUCUCAUGCUAAAAGCUUUAAGGUGGAAGAGUUGACCAAGAUUGACUUUUGUGUUUUGAGACCGAAUCGAAGUUUUGAUGGUUCCAUUAGGUUCGGAAGGUGAUUUUGGACUUGUGUGUAUGCUCGUAUUUACAUUUGGAAAACAUCUUGAAGGUUUUGGCGUUAAUUGGCAAAAGUUGGUAAAUUGAAGGUUUUGAAAAUUCAUAGGUUUGUCCGGGAGUUGACUUUGAUGAUAUCAGGUUUGGACUAUGAUUUUGGAGAUUGGAAAAACUCCGUUAUGUCAUUUGAAACUCGUGUGAAAAAUUUGAGGUCAUUUUGGUUUGAGUUAGAUAUGGUUCGGCACGAGUUAUGGACUAUGGUUCCAUAGAUUAGAAUAAGUUCGGACUAUGGUUUCAGAGAUUGGAAUAACUUCAUUAUGUCAUUUGGAUCUUGUGUGCAAAAUUUAAGGUCAUUCC
rnacentral:lncRNA from 1 species